GGCGAGGCCUGAGCUGAGUGGUAAAUAACAAAUAAGAGUUACUAAGUGAAGACUUUGGGGAAGAGUUUUCUGGGCAGAGGGAACAGUAAAUGCAGAGGCUGGGGGCCAGAAGACGUGGUGUACUCCGGGAGUCCCAAGUUAUUCCACGGAGCUGCAGUUUCUUUCAGUGGGAAGCACCCAUGCAGGGGGAGGCUGAGAAUCAGGGAACAGGCGGCCCAGCUCCACGCUGACCUGCUGGAGGACCACAGGUCUCACUCAACCCCCUGGCUUGGGUCAGGUCUCCCUGGACUUCUCUGUGGAGUAGCACCCGUCACUGACGUAAUCUACAUUCAUCUGGGAGGUCAUGUUAUGGCUGCUAGCCCCCCCACAAGGACUAUGGGCUCCCUGGGGCAGGGACCAGGAGCUCGCUUCACUGA
rnacentral:lncRNA from 1 species